UGGAAUGUGUUGUAGUGGUUUGAGAGUUGGACUAUGACUCCAGAGAUCAGGGUUCAAUUCCCAGCAUGGCCG